GCCUGGGUGGCUCAGUCAGUUGAGCAUCUGACUUCAGCUCAGGUCAUGAUCUCACGGUCUGUGAGUUCGAGCCCCGUGUCGGGCU
rnacentral:tRNA from 1 species